rnacentral:tRNA from 1 species
GGUGAGUUGGCAGAAUAGUGCCACCGACUUAGGAUCGGUUCAUGGGCGAUACCCACUCACUA